rnacentral:rRNA from 1 species
AGUGAACGCUGGCGGUAGGCCUAACACAUGCAAGUCGAACGGCAGCACAGUAAUAGCUUGCUCUUACGGGUGGCGAGUGGCGGACGGGUGAGGAAUACAUCGGAAUCUACUUUUUCGUGGGGGCUAACGUAGGGAAACUUACGCUAAUACCGCAUACGACCUACGGGUGAAGGCUGGGGAUCUUCGGACCUUGCGCGAUUGAAUGAGCCGAUGUCGGAUUAGCUAGUUGGCGGGGUAAAGGCCCACCAAGGCGACGAUCCGUAGCUGGUCUGAGAGGAUGAUCAGCCACACUGGAACUGAGACACGGUCCAGACUCCUACGGGAGGCAGCAGUGGGGAAUAUUGGACAAUGGGCGAAAGCCUGAUCCAGCCAUACCGCGUGGGUGAAGAAGGCCUUCGGGUUGUAAAGCCCUUUUGUUGGGAAAGAAAAGCAGCAGGUUAAUACCCCGCUGUUCUGACGGUACCAAAAGAAUAAGCACCGGCUAACUUCGUG